rnacentral:rRNA from 1 species
AUACGUAGGUGGCAAGCGUUGUCCGGAAUUAUUGGGCGUAAAGCGCAUGUAGGCGGUAAUUUAAGUCUGUCGUGAAACUGCGGGGCUCAGCCCCGUAUGGCGAUGGAAACUGGGUUACUUGAGUGCAGGAGAGGAAAGGGGAACUCCCAGUGUCGCGGUGAAAUGCGUAGAUAUUGGGAAGAACACCGGUGGCGAAGGCGCCUUUCUGGACUGUGUCUGACGCUGAGAUGCGAAAGCCAGGGUAGCGAACGGGAUUAGAUACCCCGGUAGUCCUGGCCGUAAACGAUGGGUACUAGGUGUGGGAGGUAUCGACCCCUUCCGUGCCGGAGUUAACGCAAUAAGUACCCCGCCUGGGGAGUACGUUCGCAAGAAUGAAACUCAAAUGAAUUGACGGGG